rnacentral:rRNA from 1 species
UACGUAGGGUGCAAGCGUUAUCCGGAAUUAUUGGGGCGUAAAGAGCUCGUAGGCGGUUUGUCGCGUCUGCUGUGAAAACUGGAGGCUCAACCUCCAGCCUGCAGUGGGUACGGGCAAACUAGAGUGGCGGUAGGGGAGAUUGGAAUUCCUGGUGUAGCGGUGGAAUGCGCAGAUAUCAGGAGGAACACCCGAUGGCGAAGGCAGAUCUCCUGGGCCGUAACUGA